GAUAUUUGGACCUAUUAACUCGAAAUAAAAGGCCGAAGUCUGCGCCCAACAAAGCAUUGAGCAAAAUGGACUUUCAAACAUAAACCAACACAAACAAAAUUACGGCAUUGAACUCACAUCCAAAUGCAAAUGUGUGUGGAGGCCCUUUUCAAUAUUAAAAUCUCCCUUCAGUCUUUAUUGGCUUCUUCAUGUGUGUCUUCUCCAAUUUAAAUGAUGCAAAUGCAGAACUCAUUUGGCUAGACUCUUCCCCAAAAGUGCAUGGUUUACGUUGAAGUUGCAAAGAAGAUUGCCUCAAAAUAUCAAAUAAUGAACUCCCUGACUUAAUUUCUUGUACGCUGUUCUGUGCACUUGGUCUCACUUGAGAAUAACUAAACUUAGCUGAAGAAAUUCUUGUAGAUUUAUUUUCAUUCUGACCCUGCAAAGCCAAGUUAGUUAUGUUGUUAGUUGGACCACGCUUGUCCAAGGAACACUUGAUCGGUUUGGAUUGAACUGAUCUAUGAUGAGGUCAAGUCAUCUAUUGCCUCUCAAGUCAUCUAAAAGUAACGUAAAUAUAUGUGACUGCUUCAGCAUCAAUAUUGUCAUAACUAGAGCUAACCUGAUCAGAAGAUUCCUCCAUCGUUGGAAUUGAGCUCCUGCUGUUGGUAUCAUCUCGACCGAAAAUGAAAGAACGACUGUUGGUUGAUGAUCCAUGCUUAUGGGAUGAAGAAAAAGAGAAAUUUGAACUUCGGCCUAAGAAAGAUGACUGCAAUAACUUAUGUUAGCUUUACAGAAGAUGAGGUCUUCAUCCAAUAGAACUGAAGGUUUUGAUAGCUAAUGCAUUUUGGAACUCAGAGAUUAUGGAUACAGAUACCUUUGAAGAUGUGUUCUUGCCUACACCGGUUAGUGGAGGGUCUGAAAACACUGCAUAAAUGGAGACAAUACAUAAGGUUUAGAUAAAGGAUGGCAGAUUAUGUGGAUGACGAAAACAAGGUGAAGGAUCUUACAUUGUGCUUUGGGUCUCUUCUUUACAUCAGGUACAACAUUCAGCUUCUUGAUAAGGCCAAAAACUUCUCUGGUGCUCUCAACCUCAGCAGGCGAGAGAAACGUGGAUUUUCCAUCCUGUUUCAGACCAAUGAUUAGAUCAUCAUGUGAACUAUAUGGUUGAACGAUUAAAAGAUAAGCAAAAGACUUUGUUCAUGAAAGAAUAGCUCGAAUCUCACGGCUUUAUCAAAUACACGUUCUCUUUCUAGCCUCCUUUCUGUUUCCUCAUCAUCAGACAUGUAUGGAUCAUCUUUAUCUGUAUACAUUUGAGGAAGCAUUUGCUUUACUUUUCUAAUGUUCAUUCGAGCCACAUCCAGUGGAAGAGAAUCUUCUGCAUCAGCUUCACAAAAUUCAAAAUCAUCAUUUUCUCCCUCGUUGUUUUCAUCUUCCAGUAAAGAUGGUUUGGUAAGUUUUGAGCCAUAUUUCAAUUUCUGUAGAAGAUCUUCUGUUCCAGCAGCAUCUUGCUGUUCAAGCCACUUCUGAUGGAGUUCAUUGCGUUUUUCAUUGUCUAAUGGAUUUUCAUCGUAAGCAGUUGCUAUCAUAUCUUGAAGCUCUUCUAAAUCGGCAUCAUCGUCUUCCUCGUCAUCUUGGAAGCGCAUAUCAUGGUCACUGUCAUCUUCUUCCUCGGCUUCAUCAUCAACAAAAGCUUUAACAGGAUCCCCGCUUGCUGAUGAAGGCAAGUCUGACAAACCAUGUGGAUGUGGAUUAACAUUCUCCUUGUCAUUAUCCUCUUCUUCAUCAGAGCUAUAAAAAGCAAAAUACUUGAGUUACAUAAGCUUUCUUGAAAACCAACACUAAACUUCAUCAAAUAAUUAGAAGUGGCCCUGCUUAAUAUUCUUGUUUUUCAAUAUUACGAGUAGGAAUGAAAACCAACAUGCAAUUGCAAACCAAAACAUCAUGAAUAUGGCAAAUGAGUACAUGCAAUAAAAUUUCCAAUCACUUGGCAUUCUUACUCAUCAAGCGCUGCAGAAUCGAGCCUUAAAUUCAUUGCCAAUACCGAUGGUGUGAAAUUUUCUUGCAGAUGACUGCUGGAUGUCUCGUUCAACACAUCAUCAAGAGGAGCAGAUUCAAGCUUUAAAUUCAUUGCCAAUACAGAUGGCGUAAAAUUUUCUUGCAGAGGAUUUUUGGACAUCUCGUUUGAUACAUCAUUUCCAAUGCUUGUUUGGGAAUCAGAAAAGAGUUCCUGGAACAUGAUAAACAAAGUAAUUAUCCUAAAUAUAUGUGUGUGUACGUGCUUGAACGCGUGUGUAAAAGGAACAUUGUCACAAUUCACCGAACAAAAAUACCUGAGUGUCAUUAACAGGAGCCCGAAAUGGUUCCGUGACCUCAUCAGUAGCCUGUAUUUCAUAAGGGCAACAAGUGACGAGUCAGUUGCACAAUCUAAAUUCUAACUUCAAUGCACAUGAAGAUUGAGAAUCCUUACAGCAAAAAAAAAGCAACUAAUAAUAAUAAUUUGUUGUUUAGGUCAAAUUAACAGGCAAUAAAGAAAAUGACAUGUAAUUUAGCUUGUUUCAAGUCUUAGUUACUGGAAUGACUCAACAAGAACUAGCCAAUACUUCCACCAAUGUAAUUGUUAUUCCUAAGAAUGUACUUGGUGUACCAAAGAAAAAAUACAAGCUUGUUCAAACAUAAACUAAUUUAAACUUAAUAAUGGUAUGAGAAGGGGAGGUGGAAGCCAUCUAACCCUUUCCCUCUGUGGGGGCAUGUUUGUUCCAUUACUUCGUUCAUGUAUACACAUUGUAUCUUUUUUAUUCUCCUCAUCGGCAGGAUGCUUAUCCAUAUCCCCACAUUCUUUUUCUACAGAAUCCGCCCUCCCUUCUACAGACAACCUAUGCUUGCUUACAACCUUUAUGAACUGAUAAUUGUCAUCAUCUUCAUCGUCACAGACUAAAAUGGAAUUCUCAAUAUUGAUAGAUCUGCAUAAAUAGAUAUUACAUAAGUUCACAGUCU
rnacentral:lncRNA from 1 species